UUUUAUGCGUCAGAGUUGGUUUCAACCGAUUGUGUGCACUAGAACAAUUCUGACAAAGAGCUUCAAGGCAUUCGCAGCUCAAGACAAUAGAAAAAUGUGAUUGAUAUAGCUGUUUGACGUUAUAUAUAUACAACGCAUAUAGAGUGCUGGAUUUUUUCGCUGGGUUAUACUAGACCAUCGCUAGUCUAAAGCUGUUUUCUGCUCUUUGGUCGGUUUGUUGUCUCUUUGACACAUUCCACGUUUUCAUAACAUGUGAUGGAGCAACGACUUUUUUUUUA
rnacentral:lncRNA from 1 species